AGGCGCAAUGAAAGUGGGGCGGCCUCGUGCCGCCGAGGGAGGAUGGCUUCUCCUUUGUGGGAUUGCCCGCACUCCCGGGGCGCCCCGGCUUCGGCCGUGGGCGCACUCGGAGCGUACACGUUGGGACCCGAAAGAUGGUGAACUAUGCCUGGUCAGGACGAAGUCAGGGGAAACCCUGAUGGAGGUCCGCAGCGAUUCUGACGUGCAAAUCGAUCGUCAGAGCUGGGUAUAGGG
rnacentral:rRNA from 1 species